rnacentral:rRNA from 1 species
ACUCAAAUGAAUUGACGGGGGCCCGCACAAGCGGUGGAGCAUGUGGUUUAAUUCGACGCGACGCGAAGAACCUUACCCAGACUUGACAUGCAUCGGACGCGUGUGGAAACACACGUUCCCUUCGGGGCCGAUGUACAGGUGCUGCAUGGCUGUCGUCAGCUCGUGUCGUGAGAUGUUGGGUUAAGUCCCGCAACGAGCGCAACCCUUGUCCAUAGUUGCUAACGGGUAAUGCUGAGCACUCUAUGGAGACUGCCGGUGGUAAACCGGAGGAAGGUGGGGAUGACGUCAAGUCCUCAUGGCCCUUACGUCUGGGGCUACACACGUGCUACAAUGGCCGGUACAAAGGGUUCCGAUACCGCGAGGUGGAGGCAAUCCCAAAAAACCGGUCUCAGUUCGGAUUGCAGUCUGCAACUCGACUGCAUGAAGUUGGAAUCGCUAGUAAUCGCUGAUCAGCAGGCAGCGGUGAAUACGUUCCCGGGCCUUGUACACACCGCCCGU